CAGCCAGGAAGGAGGAGGCAGCCAGAGAGGCCUCCACUGUUCUCUGCAGCAGAAGACCCCCUGCUGCCAGAUGCUGAGAAGUUCUCCAGAGCAAGGUUUGGAAAAGAACUUUGGGGGCCAAUGAAAAAGAAAGAAAGAAAGAAAGAAAGAAAGAAAGAAAGAAAGAAAGAAAGAAAGAAAGAAAGAACUUUAUUUGCUAGCUGCCCCAUAAUAAAUUGUCUUCUGGGCAGCUUACAACACAACAUUAAAACAUGAGAUAAAAGCACACAUUAAAUCAUAACAAACAAACAAAAACAGAUGGGGAGAAAAUAUAAAAUACAUUUAUUUACAA